AAGAAAGUGACUGCCGCCCCGCACAGGGGCGAAGCUAAUAAACCAAGAACAAAGCAAGUUUCAUGGGAGCGCAAGCGCAUCAAACGGUGUAGAAGCCCCAACCCCAAGCGCCAGCGAACUACUA
rfam:Burkholderia glathei strain DSM 50014 contig49, whole genome shotgun sequence.